CCUACGGGUGGCAGCAGUGAGGAAUAUUGGUCAAUGGACGAGAGUCUGAACCAGCCAUGCCGCGUGCAGGAAGACGGCUCUAUGAGUUGUAAACUGCUUUUGUACAAGGGUAAACCUUAAUACGUGUAUUCAGCUGAACGUACUGUACGAAUAAGGAUCGGCUAACUCCGUGCCAGCAGCCGCGGUAAUACGGAGGAUCCAAGCGUUAUCCGGAUUUAUUGGGUUAAAGGGGUGCGUAGGCGGAUUGAUAAGUCAGCGGUAAAAGCCCGGGGCUAAACCCCGGCGAGCCGUGGAAACUGGGUGGCUGGAGAGGUCGAGAGGUAUGCGGAAUGCGCAGUGUAGCGGUGAAAUGCUUAGAUAUUGCGCAGAACUCCGAUUGCGAAGGCAGCAUACCGGAGGCGAUCUGACGCUGAGGCACGAAAGCGUGGGUAUCGAACAGGAUUAGAUACCCGAGUAGUC
rnacentral:rRNA from 1 species